UUUUCCCCGUGAUCUACAUAUCAAUAAGCGGAGGAAAGAAACUAACAAGGAUUCCCCUAGUAACUGCGAGUGAAGCGGGAAAAGCUCAAAUUUAAAAUCUGGCAGUCUUUGGCUGUCCGAGUUGUAAUCUAGAGAAGUAAUGCCCGUGCUGGACCGUGUAUAAGUCUCCUGGGAUGGGGCGUCAUAGAGGGUGAGAAUCCCGUCUUUGACACGGACUACCAGUGCAUUGUGGUAUGCUCUCAAAGAGUCGAGUUGUUUGGGAAUGCAGCUCAAAAUGGGUGGUAAAUUCCAUCUAAAGCUAAAUAUUGGCGAGAGACCGAUAGCGAACAAGUACCGUGAGGGAAAGAUGAAAAGAACUUUGGAAAGAGAGUUAAACAGUACGUGAAAUUGCUGAAAGGGAAACGCUUGAAGUCAGUCGCGUUGGCCAGGGAUCAGCCUUGCUCUUGCAUGGUGUACUUUCUGGUUGACGGGUCAGCAUCAAUUUUGACCGCUGGAAAAGGGCCUGGGGAAUGUGGCAGCUUCGGCUGUGUUAUAGCCCCUGGUCGCAUACAGUGGUUGGGAUUGAGGAACUCAGCACGCCGCAAGGCCGGGUUUCGACCACGUUCGUGCUUAGGAUGCUGGCAUAAUGGCUUUAAGCGACCCGUCUUGAAACACGGACCAAGGAGUCUAACAUGCCUGCGAGUAUUUGGGUGGAAAACCCAAGUGCGUAAUGAAAGUGAAAGUUGAGAUCCCUGUCGUGGGGAGCAUCGACGCCCGGACCAGAACUUUUGGGACGGAUCCGCGGUGGAGCAUGUAUGUUGGGACCCGAAAGAUGGUGAACUAUGCCUGAAUAGGGUGAAGCCAGAGGAAACUCUGGUGGAGGCUCGUAGCGAUUCUGACGUGCAAAUCGAUCGUCAAAUUUGGGUAUAGGGGCGAAAGACUAAUCGACCAUCUAGUAGUGGUCUGCGUAUUUCCCCCCCCCCAAGAAAA
rnacentral:rRNA from 1 species